rnacentral:rRNA from 1 species
UACAGAGGUCCCAAGCGUUUGUUCGGAUUCACUGGGCGUAAAGGGUGCGUAGGUGGUGAGGUAAGUCUGAUGUGAAAUCCCGCAGCUCAACUGCGGAACUGCAUCGGAUACUAUCUUGCUAGAGGGUUUGAGGGGGGACUGGAAUUCUCGGUGUAGCAGUGAAAUGCGUAGAUAUCGAGAGGAACACCAGUGGCGAAGGCGAGUCCCUGGAAAACUCCUGACACUGAGGCACGAAAGCUAGGGGAGCAAACAGG